UACGGGGGGGGCAAGCGUUGUUCGGAAUUACUGGGCGUAAAGGGCUCGUAGGUGGCCAACUAAGUCGGACGUGAAAUCCCCAGGCUCAACUUGGGAACUGCGUCCGAUACUGGCAGGCUUGAAUCCGGGAGAGGGAUGCGGAAUUCCAGGUGUAGCGGUGAAAUGCGUAGAUAUCUGGAGGAACACCGGUGGCGAAGGCGGCAUCCUGGACCGGCAUUGACGCUGAGGCGCGAAAGCCAGGGGAGC
rnacentral:rRNA from 1 species